UGAUGAAUUGAUGAGAGUCAUCUUUGAGAGUGACCUGAAAUGAAGAGAAUAUUCACUGCUGAUCACUU
ensembl:snoRNA